ensembl:Mt_tRNA
AAGAACCGUGCCCGAAUGCUAAGGGGUCACUUUGAUGGAGUGAACCAUAGGGGUUAAAAUCCCCUCGGUUCUUA